CCUAACAUCUAGCACCGCAACUGGCACACAGAAGCCCUUCCUGGACUUUCCGGUGACACUGCUCUCCCCCGCACACACUCCAGAGUUCAGUCAGGCAGCGACCAAACCAGACACGGCCUCUCAGCGCAGUCAC